CAAUAGCGUAUAUUAACGUUGUUGCAGUUAAAAAGCUCGUAGUUGGAUUUCCGACAGGAGUGACCGGUCCGAGUCGCAAGACUCGUGUACUUUUGUGUCUUACUCUAGUCAUCCUUAUGGAGAUUGUGUUUCGGCAUUGAGUUGUCGGGCAUAGGACCCAUAUCGUUUACUGUGAAAAAAUUAGAGUGUUUAAAGCAGGCAAUUGCUGUGAAUACAUUAGCAUGGAAUAAUAAGAUAGGACUUUGGUGCUAUUUUGUUGGUUUGCCACCAAGGUAAUGAUUAAGAGGGACAGUUGGGGGUAUUCGUAUUUAAUUGUCAGAGGUGAAAUUCUUGGAUUUAUGAAAGACGAACUACUGCGAAAGCAUUUACCAAGGAUGUUUUCAUUAA
rnacentral:rRNA from 1 species